ACAAGCCCAGGGUCUAAACAUGCUACAGAAAGCCAAACAGGAAACGAAGCACAGGUGUGCCAAGCGAGUUGCUAAUGAGGAGGCAGGACAAGGAGAGACGGUGCAGAUACCACCAUGACAUCUUCUUGAUUUUAAUAGCCCCCUGAUUUGGCAUCGUUUUACGCCAUCUAAUCAGCUGUUGGGAAGAGGCAGAAACAGAGACUGAAGGAGAGCGAAUGCACUGCAGAAACCACAGAGACUGUUGGUCCUUAAUCAUUCAACACAGUUUGUCUCUAACAGUACGUACAUCUGCAGCAAUACAGACUUCCUGGCAAAUAGAUAACUAUGUAGCUUCAGUAGGUUUGCCUUGACUGUGAUUUGUACAUGCAUGUUAAACUGAAGCAAAUGUUCCAUCUGCACACCUCUUGCACCUGCCCUGCUUCUGUACUUAUGACCUGAAAGUCAUGCACUUGAUGUAUGCACAUUUCUGCUGCUUUAUUUUCUAAUACAAUAUGUUCGGCACAUAUGACUUUUGUAAAAUAAUAAUUUCUGUAUUGAACAAC